UACGGAGGGGGCGAGCGUUAUCCGGAAUUAUUGGGCGUAAAGGGCGCGUAGGCGGCUUGACAAGUCAAAGGUGAAAUCCCUCGGCUCAACUGAGGAACUGCCUUUGAAACUGUCUGGCUUGAGGCCGGGAGGGGGUAGCGGAAUUCCCAGUGUAGCGGUGAAAUGCGUAGAUAUUGGGAGGAACACCAGUGGCGAAGGCGGCUACCUGGACCGGUUCUGACGCUGAUGCGCGAAAGCGUGGGUAGCAAACAGG
rnacentral:rRNA from 1 species